AGCGAACGCUGGCGGCAGGCCUAACACAUGCAAGUCGAACGAACCUUUCGGGGUUAGUGGCGGACGGGUGAGUAACACGUGGGAAUGUGCCUUUAGGUUCGGAAUAACUCAGGGAAACUUGUGCUAAUACCGAAUGUGCCCUUCGGGGGAAAGAUUUAUCGCCUUUAGAGCGGCCCGCGUCUGAUUAGCUAGUUGGUUGAGGUAAUGGCUCACCAAGGCGACGAUCAGUAGCUGGUCUGAGAGGAUGAUCAGCCACAUUGGGACUGAGACACGGCCCAAACUCCUACGGGAGGCAGCAGUGGGGAAUCUUGCGCAAUGGGCGAAAGCCUGACGCAGCCAUGCCGCGUGAAUGAUGAAGGUCUUAGGAUUGUAAAAUUCUUUCACCGGGGACGAUAAUGACGGUACCCGGAGAAGAAGCCCCGGCUAACUUCGUG
rnacentral:rRNA from 1 species